rnacentral:rRNA from 1 species
CCGUAAUUUAAGGCGUGUGGUGGAUGCCUAGACACCAAAAAGCGAAGAAGGGCGUAGCAAUCUGCGAUAAGCCUCGGGGAGCUGAUAAGCAAGCUUUGAUCCGGGGAUUUCCGAAUGGGGAAACCCAGCAUUGUAAAACAAUGUUCUCGUGUCUCACUAAUGUUCGGCACAAGGAUAUGAAUUUUUAAUUUUAAAUUUUUAAACAAUUUUUAAUGUUAUAAUUUUUAAACUAUGCUUAAAAAGUAAUUGGCUUAGAAAUUAAAAUUAAGAAUUAAAAAUUCUCUGUGGCGAGCGGUAGCGAGACACGAGGCAUACCCGCUGAAGUGAAACAUCUCAGUAGGCGGUGGAAAAUAAAUCAAUAGAGAUUCUCCUAGUAGUGGCGAACGAACGGGGAACAGCCCAAACUCUUUUCAGUGUUUGUUGGGGCGGCGCGAUGUUUAAUUAUAUCUCGUCAAACCGAUGAUAAAGGCGCAGGCCGUUGCUGAUUUGAGGGUUGUAAGGCAAUUGCGUUUUUGUUUCUUGCGAAAUAAAGGAUUAGUUACAAAGAUUGUUGUUAGCCAAAUGCCACUGGAAAGCGGCAACCAAAGAAGGUGAUAGUCCUGUCGGUGAAAACAAUAAUCCUAAUCAGCGAUUGUUCUUGAGUAAAGCGAGACACGUGAAAUCUUGCUUGAAGCCGGGUCGACUAUGAUCCAAGGCUAAAUAUUUUUGGCGAUCGAUAGUGAACUAGUACCAUGAGGGAAAGGUUAAAAGCACCCCGGUGAGGGGGAUGAAAUAGUAUCUGAAACCACAUGCUGACAUAGAAUGGGAGCAUUUCGCUUCACUUUGCGUUCUGAACGAUUUUUAAUUUUAAAUUUUAAAAUAAAUCUAAAUUUUAAAUUUUUAAACAUUGGAAUUUAAAAAUUAUUUAAAAAUUAAAAAUUGGAAAUUAAAAAUUGGAACACGGAGCGAAGCGAAGUGUGACCGUGUGCCUAUUGAAGAAUGAGCCAACGAGUUUGUGUAUGUUACUUGUUUAACCCCGCAUUGCGGGAGAAGGCAAAGGGAAACCAAGUCUUAACUGGGCGUAUACCUUUUAAUAUUAUUGGCUUGACCUUUAAGCUAAUAAUAUUAAAAUGGUAAGGUAGCAUGUACAAGACCCGAAACCAGGCGAGCUAGCCAUGGACAGGAUGAACCCUGAGUAAAAUCAGGAGGAGGUCCGUACCCACCAGCCGUGCAACACUGGGGGAUGAGCCGUGGUUAGGGGUGAAAUUCCAAUCGAGCUUGGUAAUAGCUGGUUCUCCUCGAAAUAGCUUAUGGGCUAGCGUCUUUUGUUCGCACCCAGGGGUAGAGCACUGGAAGGAAGUGGAGUGGUUCGCCAUAUCCCUUUCUAUCAAACUCCGAAUACUGGGUGUUUAAAAAGGCAGUCAGACUACGGGGGCUAAGCUUCGUUGGUCUAAAGGGGAACAGCCCAAAUCUUAAGUUAAGGUCCCCAAAUCUACGUUAAGUGUGAAAGGCAGUGGAUUUUUUUAUACAACUAGGAGGUUGGCUUAGAAGCAGCCAUCCUUUAAAGAAAGCGUAAUAGCUCACUAGUCAAGAAUUUCUGCGCCGAAAAUUUACCGGGGCUAAAACGUAGUACCGAAACUAAGGGUCCCGAUUUUAUGUCGGGGCGGUAGAGGAGUGUUCUAUAUCCGUUGAAGUCGUUUCCGUGAGGAACGGGGGAGGAUAUAGAAGUAAGAAUGUUGGCAUGAGUAGCAAAAAGGCCGGUUGGAAACCGGCCCACCGAAAAUCCAAGGUUUCCUGGGCAACGUUAAUCGGCCCAGGGUUAGGCGAUCCUAACUUUGCGUCCGAAAGGGCGCAAGGGAUGGAAGAGCAGGUUAAUAUUCCUGCCCUGUACAGAUAUUAUCCUCGCAUUGACGCAUUUUGAAGCUGGGAGCAUAUUUUGGCUAUAUAUGUUUAUGCCGACGAAAGUCGGGAUGAAGAAGCAAAGCCUCCGGGUAGAGCGAAUUUCCAGUAACAGGGUGCCGGGAAAAGAUGCGUUGUUAAGUAUAUGUGCAACCGUACCGUAAACCGACUCAGGUGGGUGAGGCGAGAAGCCUAAGGUGAACGAGAUAACCCUUAUUCAGGAACUCGGCAAAAUAACGGGCGUAACUUCGGAAUAUGCCCUUCCCGAUUUCUUAUAUUUUUUAAAUAUGGGACAUCGGGACGCAGUUAAAGAUCUCUAGCGACUGUUUACCAAAAACACAGGUCCCUGCUAAAGUCGUAAGACUAUGUAUAGGGGCUGAUGCCUGGCCAGUGUCAGAACGUUAAGCAGAGAGGUGCAAGCCUUGAAGCCAAGCGCUGAUGAACGCCGGCGAUAACUAUAAUCGUCCUAAGGUUUUUCGCUAAAGUUAGUAUAAUUUUAGCGAAAAAGGGCUGGGACGAUUAUAUAAAUUCGUUGCCUAUUAUUAUCGUGAGAUAAUAUUGUCCUAAAAAUCAAAAUCAGCUGUAUGCGAGAACCCUUCAAAAGAUUUUUACUACUCGUCCUGCGAUAGCGGGACAGUAAAAAGGUAAAAAUACACGGAGGCAAUUCGCAGGAAACUAAUUAAAUUAGGAUCCUCAGAGACCGAAUGCUGAGAUCUAGAUAAAAAUAUGAAACUAAAUCCUUAUUGGGUUAGUGGUUUCGUUGAUGGAGAAGGAACUUUUUAUAUCGGUAUUAAUCGUCAAAGUUCAAUGACGGUUGGCUAUCAGGUGCUACCCGAAUUCAGGGUAGUGCAGCACAAAAGAGAUAUUAGACUAUUAUAUGGUUUAAAAGCAUUCUUUGGAUGCGGGGUAGUCAGGGUCAACCACGAGGAAAGAUACGAAUUGCGGGUGAGAGAUAUAAAACACCUGAAAGAUAUAAUUAUUCCCUUUUUCCGAAAAUAUCAACUUAACACCCAAAAGAAAUUUGAUUUUUAUAAGUUCCAAAAGGUUAUUGGAUUGAUGGCAGAAGGAUGUCAUCUUAAGGAAGCGGGAGUGUUGGAAAUAACAAAAAUCGCGGAGCAGAUGAACAGAAGAGAAAAGAAUUCCGCAAUAAGCAUUAAAGAAGAAAUAUUGUCUAGAUUAAAUUAGAGUCCAUGCGUCGCAGAUAAUGCGACGAAGGAGCAGAGCGAAAUUCCUUGACGGGUGAGUUCCGUCCCGCACGAAUGGCAUAACGACUUGAGAACUGUCUUGAUAAGGGACUCGGCGAAAUUGCAAUGGCGGUAAAGAUGCCGCCUCCUCACAGUUAGACGAAAAGACCCCGUGAAGCUUUACUAUAACUUGAUAUUGAUAUAUAAGAUGUCCAUGUUCAGCAUAGGUGGGAGCCCCGACGCAAGUCGGGACGCCAGUGAGAUACCACCCUUGGCAUUUUGUAUAUCUAAUCCCGCGCAAGCGGGAGACAGUAUCUGGUGGGUAGUUUGAGUGGGGCGCUCGCCUCCUAAAAAGUAACGGAGGCGCUUAAAGGUUGGUUAGCUCCGGAUGGAAAUCGGAGCGAUAGAGCAAACUCAUAAACCAGCUUUACUGCAAGACCCACAUGUCGCGCAGUCGCGAAAGCGUAAGUUAGUGAACCGACCAUUCUCAUAUAGGAGAGUGGAAGAUCAACGAAUAAAAGCUACUCCGGGGAUAACAGGCUAGUCUUGCCCAAGCGUCCAUAGCGACGGCAAGGUUCGGCACCUCGAUGUCGGCUCAUCGCAUCCUGGGGGUGAACAAGCUCCCAAGGGUUUGGCUGUUCGCCAAUUAAAGCGGUACGUGAGCUGGGUUCAAAACGUCGUAAGACAGUUUGGUCUCCUAUCUACUGUGAGCGUUUAAAAUCUUGAGGGACCCCUUCUCUAGUACGAGAGGACCGAGAAGGACGAACCGCUGGUGUACCAGUUGUCCUGCCAAGGGCAUCGCUGGGUAGCUAAGUUCGGGUUGGAUAAGCGCUGAAAGCAUAUAAGCGCGAAGCUGUUCCCAAG